rnacentral:rRNA from 1 species
UAUACAAUGAAGAGUUUGAUCCUGGCUCAGGAUGAACGCUAGCGGCAGGCUUAACACAUGCAAGUCGAGGGGUAACAUUGUGCUUGCACAGAUGACGACCGGCGAACGGGUGCGUAACGCGUAUAGAAUCUGCCUUGUACAGGAGGAUAGCCUUUAGAAAUGAAGAUUAACACUCCAUAAUGUUAAUGAGUGGCAUCACUUAUUAAUUAAACAUUUAUG